rnacentral:rRNA from 1 species
AGUCGAGCGAAGCAAUUUAAGUGAAGUUUUCGGAUGGAUCUUAAAUUGACUGAGCGGCGGACGGGUGAGUAACGCGUGGAUAACCUGCCUCACACAGGGGGAUAACAGUUAGAAAUGACUGCUAAUACCGCAUAAGCGCACGGUACCGCAUGGUACAGUGUGAAAAACUCCGGUGGUGUGAGAUGGAUCCGCGUCUGAUUAGGUAGUUGGUGAGGUAACGGCCCACCAAGCCGACGAUCAGUAGCCGACCUGAGAGGGUGACCGGCCACAUUGGGACUGAGACACGGCCCAAACUCCUACGGGAGGCAGCAGUGGGGAAUAUUGCACAAUGGGCGAAAGCCUGAUGCAGCAACGCCGCGUGAGUGAAGAAGUAUCUCGGUAUGUAAAGCUCUAUCAGCAGGGAAGAAAAUGACGGUACCUGACUAAGAAGCCCCGGCUAACUACGUGCCAGCAGCCGCGGUAAUACGUAGGGGGCAAGCGUUAUCCGGAUUUACUGGGUGUAAAGGGAGCGCAGACGGCACUGCAAGUCUGAAGUGAAAGCCCGGGGCUCAACCCCGGGACUGCUUUGGAAACUGUAGAGCUAGAGUGCUGGAGAGGCAAGCGGAAUUCCUAGUGUAGCGGUGAAAUGCGUAGAUAUUAGGAAGAACACCAGUGGCGAAGGCGGCUUGCUGGACAGUAACUGACGUUCAGGCUCGAAAGCGUGGGGAGCAAACAGGAUUAGAUACCCUGGUAGUCCACGCUGUAAACGAUGAAUACUAGGUGUUGGUGGGCAAAGCCCAUCGGUGCCGCCGCAAACGCAAUAAGUAUUCCACCUGGGGAGUACGUUCGCA